rnacentral:misc_RNA from 1 species
AUUGAAGUGGCUCGCUUGUCAAGACGAUAGAAUCUGCACAAGGGGCUGGUUGUUUUCCAUCAAUUUGAUAUAAGUUCUGACCUUAAUGUUUGCCCAAGAUGUGAUGAAUAUGAUGAAAUAGUUCCUCAUUUAUUUCUCCUCUGUAAUUUUUCGUGGAAGAUAUGGUCUUGGAUCCUCAAUUGGUGCAUGGGGCGUCUCUCUCUGCCUACCAAACUCUGUAGCUAUAUUAUUUGCUGAAUGGAAAAACCUUUCACGAGGGGAAUUUCAUACUAAAGUUUGGGUUUGCUUGUUUUAUGUCACUGAUUGAUCUAUGUGGCAUAGUAGAAAUGAUAGUAUCUUUAACAAAAAAGAAUGGUCAUUUGAGAAUCUUUGCUCUCUUAUUCUUUUUCGUCUGCUACUGAUUUAUUAGUCUCAUCACAAUCCAUUGGGAGUUGGUCUUAUCCACAUCACAUCAGACCAUCAAUAUUAUGUUUAAGCCCUCCUCCAUCCUAUAUAGAGUGGAAUGUUAACGGUUCAGCUCAAGGGAAUCCUAGUAAUACAUGGUGGAAUGCUUAGGGAUAAUGGGUCAAUUUCUCUGCAUUUUCUCUUACUUUACAGGUAUAGAUGACUCAAAUGGUGCAGAAUUUAGAGCAACAUGCAAAGCCUUGGAGUUUCUUCUAUCUUCGCGUCAUCUUUGCUGUAAUAUCGAUCGCAUCAUUGUGGAGUCUUAAGUCUCAUGUGGCUUUGUCUUGGGUCAAUAACCUAAAUGAUUCACCUUGGCAAUUGUCAAGCGCUGUUAACUCUCUAGCUUCUAGUCUGUUGGUGUUGCCUAAUGUUGAAUUUCUUCAUGUACUGAGGGAAGCGAAUUCAUUGGCUGAUUCUCUAGCUAAACAAGGGCUGGUUCAUUCUGAGGAUUUUGUAGCUUUCUUUUAGUUUUAGUGUAUAUUGCUGUGUUUUUUUGGCUUUGAUGUUGUAUCCCCUACAUUUUGCUGUUCUGUUUCUUGUGUCCUGGAUUUUGGUGCAUUGUCUUUGCUGGAAUGGUUUAGUAUCCUUGUUUUUUUAUGAAUUUUUUCAUCACCAUUAGAAGUUA